GGCGCGGUGGCGGAACUGGCAGACGCAGGGGACUUAAAAUCCUCCGAGGGCAACCUCUUGUGGGUUCGAUUCCCACCCGCGCUA
rnacentral:tRNA from 1 species